rnacentral:rRNA from 1 species
GCUGGCGGCACGCCUAACACAUGCAAGUCGAACGCAGUAGCAAUACUGAGUGGCAAACGGGUGAGUAUAAUGUGGGAAUCUGCCUUUUGGUUUGGAAUAACACGGGGAAACUUGUGCUAAUACCAAAUAAGCCUUUACAGGGAAAGUUUUAACGCCGAAAGAUGAGCCCGCACUUGAUUAGCUAGUUGGUAAGGUAAAAGCUUACCAAGGCAAUGAUCAAUAGCUGUUCUUAGAGGAAGACCAGCCACAUUGGGACUGAGACACGGCCCAGACUCCUACGGGAGGCAGCAGUGGGGAAUCUUGCACAAUGGGGGAAACCCUGAUGCAGCGAUGCCGCGUGAGUGAAGAAGGCCUUUGGGUUGUAAAACUCUUUCGUCGGGGAAGAAAAUGACUGUACCCGAAUAAGAAGGUCCGGCUAACUUCGUGCCAGCAGCCGCGGUAAUACGAAGGGACCUAGCGUAGUUCGGAAUUACUGGGCUUAAAGAGCUCGUAGGUGGUUAAAAAAGUUGAUGGUGAAAUCCCAAGGCUUAACCUUGGAACUGCCAUCAAAACUUUUUAGCUAGAGUGUGAUAGAGGUAAGUGGAAUUUCUAGUGUAGAGGUGAAAUUCGUAGAUAUUAGAAAGAACACCAAAUGCGAAGGCAACUUACUGGGUCACUACUGACACUGAGGAGCGAAAGCAUGGGUAGCGAAGAGGAUUAGAUACCCUCGUAGUCCAUGCCGUAAACGAUGUGUGCUAGACGUUGGAAAUAUAUUUUUCAGUGUCGCAGCGAAAGCAUUAAGCACACCGCCUGGGGAGUACGACCGCA